rnacentral:rRNA from 1 species
GAUCCUGGCUCAGAUUGAACGCUGGCGGCAGGCUUAACACAUGCAAGUCGAGCGGAGACUUCGGUCUUAGCGGCGAACGGGUGAGUAAUACCUAGGAAUCUGCCUAUUAGGUGGGGGAUAACGAAUCGAAAGGUUCGCUAAUACCGCAUACGUCCUACGGGAGAAAGGGGGGGAUCUUUGGACCUCUCGCUAAUAGAUGAGCCUAGGCCGGAUUAGCUAGUUGGUAGGGUAAAGGCCUACCAAGGCGACGAUCUGUAGCUGGUCUGAGAGGAUGGCCAGCCACACUGGAACUGAGACACGGUCCAGACUCCUACGGGAGGCAGCAGUGGGGAAUAUUGGACAAUGGGGGCAACCCUGAUCCAGCCAUGCCGCGUGUGUGAAGAAGGCCUUCGGGUUGUAAAGCACUUUAAGCGAGGAGGAAGGUUUUUAGUUUAAUACACUAAAGAAUUGACGUUACUCGCAGAAUAAGCACCGGCUAACUCUGUG